rnacentral:lncRNA from 1 species
GGGGUGCUUUCAGCCAAACACGUGAAGGAACUGCUUCUGUCCGAGGAGAACGGCUGCAGCCUCCCGGUGACUCCUCAGUCCAUCUCCGACCUCAAGUCUCUGGCCACGGCUCUGUUGGAGACGAUCCACGAGAAGAACAUGGUGAUUCAGCACCAGCGCCAGAUCAACAAGAUUCUUGGAAAUCGAGUCGCAGACCUGGAGAAGAAGCUAAAAACAUUAGAGAAGUCCGGAUAUGGAGCCUGCCAGGUGGAAAUGAAUAAUGAUGUACUGAGACACAUAGUUGAUGCUAAUCUACAUCAGUGGACAGUACAUGCCUCUUUUAUUCUUUCUUCUGUCUUUAUUGCUGCCUGAAGGCCCUGACUUAUAAUGUGUCUCUGGGAAUAUAUUGGGAGUAUGUUCCAAUGUCUGAGUUCUUAAUAUCCGUUUCAAGCACUUUAACAUUUUAUUUCUUUUCCUUUAUUUAUGACGUAAAGAGCUCAGUCUGAAUAGUGUUUUGUUCUAACAGGAACAACCAGCAGCAUCCUGAGCUCAGAACAGGCUGAGUCACCAGAUGUUCCUGGAGAGGAAGGUCGACCCGCUGAGAUGCAGCGCUCCCCGGAGGUUUCAUGCGGGGACGGGUGAAACGCCGGCUUCGCCGAAGAGCCAGAUGUGCCGUCCGGCGCGGAACCCGCACAGCCCGUCAGCAGACGCGGAACCAGCGGGUCCUCGGACAAACGCAGCCCGUGUCACCGCUUCAGAGGACUGUCUGAGUCAGACGCCCCCCACGGUGACAGAUGUGGACGCCCCGCGCCUGACGGACCGCUGCCACUCGCGCCAGACUUCAGAGAGCUUGGGUCCGAACGAAGGAGGGCAGAAUGAGUCUGAUGAAGCAGCUGAGACGGAGACCGUUGGAACGGAGGAAAAGCAGCAGGAGCUCGUUCAGCCAAACCAACACACAGAACCUUUACAUGAUACAGAUGUGUGUGUUGGAAAGGAUGUCUGA